rnacentral:tRNA from 1 species
GUUUUAAUAGUUUAAAAAAAAACUUUGGUCUUGUAAACCAAAAAUGUAAAUAAUUUCUUAAUACU